rnacentral:rRNA from 1 species
UACGUAGGGAGCGAGCGUUGUCCGGAUUUACUGGGUGUAAAGGGUGCGUAGGCGGUUUUUCAAGUCAGAAGUGAAAUCCAUGGGCUUAACCCGUGAACUGCUUUUGAAACUGGAAGACUUGAGUGAAGUAGAGGUAGGCGGAAUUCCCGGUGUAGCGGUGAAAUGCGUAGAGAUCGGGAGGAACACCAGUGGCGAAGGCGGCCUACUGGGCUUUAACUGACGCUGAGGCACGAAAGCGUGGGUAGCAAACAGG